rnacentral:lncRNA from 1 species
UCUUGCCCAAAGUUUCCCAGCUGGUGAGUGAUGGAGCAAGUGUUCGAAUCCAGGGAGUGUGACCCCAGAGCCCAUGUGUUUACCUUCUGCUUCUGAGUCAACUGAGCAGUAACUUCAAGGAGACCCACCUUCUGGGUCAUGAAGCUGGGGAGAGCGAGUGAAAAAGAGAGGAGGAAGGAUGGUCUGGCCCGGAAGAGAGGCCUUAUGGACAGACGGGGAGGUCAGUGAGGAAACUGGAAGCCAAUGAAAGUUUUAAGUUAUCUUCAAAUACUUAAAGAGCUGUCCUGAGGAAGAUGGUUCAAGAUUUACUGCAAUCAAAAAACAUCUUGGCUACCUCUAAGAAAAUGACUCCGGUGCCCGUACAUGCUUUGAGAUGGGAGAAGAGCAUCAAGGGGUCCCAAUCAACAGACCAGAUGUGAGAGGAAGAGCCUGGACUGGGGAGGAUGGCAGUGAGGAAAUAAAGGAGCAAAUCCAAGAGACAUUUUUUUAAAAGCACAGGACUUGAAUGAGUUUGGAAGCAUCAGAGAGACUCUGAGGUGUCUUGUGCCUGCUGGGACGGAAAUGAGACAGUCACCAAAGGAAGCCCAUGGUGGGAAGGAGAGGAUGAAUGCAUGGGGCAUCUUAAAGAGUCUUUACACACUACAUCCUUCAUGGUGGUUACCUCUGCAGGGCCUGCCUCCGGCCUUUAAAGGCCCAAACAUCAUCAGACAUCCAUCUUUGAAGCAAGAUUGCAGUGCUGGGCUUGGAAAGACUGACCCUGGGAUUUUUAUAGCUGAAAUCAGCCCAGCCCAGCUCAGCCCAUGAACUAAACUACAGGCAGCAGGACAGAAGAUGGAAGAACACAGGCUGCAGUCAGAGGCCUCUGUGUCCAAAGGCCAGCUCUGCCACAAGUGACC